rnacentral:lncRNA from 1 species
CUCCCAGCCUCCCUCCUGCAACUGCUUCCUCGGGCUUGGCCGGUUCCAGGAAUUCAACUAUGAAUAGCCAGGCAGGGCCCGCACCUGCCUGCCACCCCCCUCCUCUCCUCCCUUGGCCUCGUGCUAAGUCUCACGGCGACGGGAGCAGGGCGGAUCCCGUCCUGCCCACCUCCCUGCGACCGCUUGCCGCCCCACCCGUCCCCGCGCCGUUACCUGAAGGAGCGGGCAAGGGGACUCAAACUGCUCGGGGAGCCCGAGCUCAGACCUGCCCACUGGCUGAGGGUAUCCGGCGGACGCGGCAAGCCAGGGCCCCGAUUACCCAGUAAUGCAACCAGCAAAAUGGCGACCACAACAAACCGGCCCCCCCACGCCCUGGACUCCGCCCCCAUCCCUCCCUCUCCGCUCCCCUCACGUGACCCACACUGACACUCCGCCUGCGCGAGAUGGCCGCUUACCUGCACGCAUGCGCAGCGAGCUACCAAUCCCACCCAAGAACCGAAAUCCAGGCUGCCGCUGCGCAAAGGCAGCUAGAAACGGAGCAUGCGCUCUGUGACCGAGUGAGAAUUUACCCAACCCCGCAAAAUUGACCAAGGGUGCGUGCUCCCUGUGUCAGCAGGUCAAGGGGAGGAAUGAGCAGCAGACAUGGGAGACGGAUGAGUCUUUUAAUAGAAAAACACACGUGCAACAGUAUCAACACACAUCUCUCGCAAUCCUGACAGCGCUGAACUUCAGUUCUUCACCUUGGGGGGUGGCCUGUGAGAGGAAGAUAGGUGAUGAAGGAGGGUCCCCAGGAUCAUGGCACUCGGGGUGCAAGGGACAGAGAUGUCUGUCUUGGUGUAUUGCUGGGCCCCUGCUCACCUGUACACUCCCACGACCACGGCAUGGUCUCUUUCAUAUGGCUCAAGGGUCAACUGCUCCUGCGGCUUCAUGUUCUCCUGUUGCAUCUUUUUCACUUCGGAGGCAAACACGGCCUCGGCUGAGGCUGUGGAGUCAAUGCAGUUGGCCUAAAGAGGAGAAAGGACUAAUGUCUACAACAGGGCUUUGGGCUGUUUUUCUCUUGUGUGCUCUUUAAACCAGAUGUUUUCAUUAUUAAUUCAAGUAAAACUCAGUGCUAUGGUUCUAGUGUGUCCCCCAAAGUUCAUGUGUUGGAAACGUAACCCUUAAAUGCAAGAGUUGAGAGGUGGGACCUUCGAGAGAUGAUUCAGGUCAUGAGGCCUCUGCCUUCCUGAAUAGAGUAAUGCUAUUAUCACAAGAGUGGGUUGCUGAUUAAAAGGAUGAUUAUGCCCCCUUUCUAUCUUGCUCUCACCCUUCUGCCAAUGGAUGACAGCAAGAAGGCCCUCGCCAGAUUCAGACCUCCAAUCUUGGACUUUCCAGCCUUUGGAACUGGGAGCCAAAUAAAUUUCCAUUCAUUAUAAAUUACCCAGUCUAAGGCUGGGCGUGGUGGCUCACGCCUGUAAUCCCAGCACUUUGGGAGGCCGAGGUGGCUCAAUCACGAAAUCAGGAGAUUGAGACCAUCCUGGCCAACACGGUGAAACCCUAUCUCUACUAAAAAUACAAAAAUUAGUCGGGUGUGGUGGCGCACACCUGUAGUCCCACCUACUCGGGAAGCUGACGCAGGAGAAUCGCUUGAACCCAGGAACUGGAGGUUGCAGUGAGCCGAGAUCGUACCACUGCACUCCAACCUGGUGACAGAGUAAGACUCCAUCUCAAAAAAAUAAAAAUAAAAAUAAAAAUAAAUAAAUUACCCAGUCUAUAGCAUUCUGUGAUAGCUGCAUAAAAUGGGCUAAGACACUCGGGUUUAGGAAAUGUGAUAAAAGGCUUAAUGAAAGUUUUUGGCUGGGUGCAGUGGCUCGUGCCUGUAAUCCUAGCACUUUGGGAGCCUGAGACAGGCAGAUUGCCUGAGCUCAGGAGCUCCAGAGCAGCCUGAGCAACAUGGCAAAACCCCGUCUCCACUAAAAAUAUAAAAGUUAGCCAGGUGUGGUGGCACACGCCUGUAGUCCCAGCUACUUAGGAGGCUGAGGCAGAAGAAUUGCUUGAACCUGGGAGGCAGAGGUUGCAGUGAGCUGAGAUUGCACCACUUCACGCCAGCC